rnacentral:rRNA from 1 species
GACGAACGCUGGCGGCGUGCUUAACACAUGCAAGUCGAACGGAAAGGCCCUGCUUUUGUGGGGUGCUCGAGUGGCGAACGGGUGAGUAACACGUGAGUAACCUGCCCUUGACUUUGGGAUAACUUCAGGAAACUGGGGCUAAUACCGGAUAGGAGCUCCUGCUGCAUGGUGGGGGUUGGAAAGUUUCGGCGGUUGGGGAUGGACUCGCGGCUUAUCAGCUUGUUGGUGGGGUAGUGGCUUACCAAGGCUUUGACGGGUAGCCGGCCUGAGAGGGUGACCGGCCACAUUGGGACUGAGAUACGGCCCAGACUCCUACGGAAGGCAGCAGUGGGGAAUAUUGCACAAUGGGCGGAAGCCUGAUGCAGCAACGCCGCGUGCGGGAUGACGGCCUUCGGGUUGUAAACCGCUUUCGCCUGUGACGAAGCGUGAGUGACGGUAAUGGGUAAAGAAGCACCGGCUAACUACGUGCCAGCAGCCGCGGUGAUACGUAGGGUGCGAGCGUUGUCCGGAUUUAUUGGGCGUAAAGGGCUCGUAGGUGGUUGAUCGCGUCGGAAGUGUAAUCUUGGGGCUUAACCCUGAGCGUGCUUUCGAUACGGGUUGACUUGAGGAAGGUAGGGGAGAAUGGAAUUCCUGGUGGAGCGGUGGAAUGCGCAGAUAUCAGGGGGAACACCAGUGGCGAAGGCGGUUCUCUGGGCCUUUCCUGACGCUGAGGAGCGAAAGCGUGGGGAGCGAACAGGCUUAGAUACCCUGGUAGUCCACGCUGUAAACGGUGGGUACUAGGUGUGGGGUCCAUUCCACGGGUUCCGUGCCGUAGCUAACGCUUUAAGUACCCCGCCUGGGGAGUACGGCCGCAAGGCUAAAACUCAAAGGAAUUGACGGGGCCCCGCACAAGCGGCGGAGCAUGCGGAUUAAUUCGAUGCAACGCGUAGAACCUUACCUGGGUUUGACAUGGAUCGGGAGCGCUCAGAGAUGGGUGUGCCUCUUUUGGGGUCGGUUCACAGGUGGUGCAUGGCUGUCGUCAGCUCGUGUCGUGAGAUGUUGGGUUAAGUCCCGCAACGAGCGCAACCCUUGUUCACUGUUGCCAGCACGUUAUGGUGGGGACUCAGUGGAGACCGCCGGGGUCAACUCGGAGGAAGGUGGGGAUGACGUCAAGUCAUCAUGCCCCUUAUGUCCAGGGCUUCACGCAUGCUACAAUGGCUGGUACAGAGAGUGGCGAGCCUGUGAGGGUGAGCGAAUCUCGGAAAGCCGGUCUCAGUUCGGAUUGGGGUCUGCAACUCGACCUCAUGAAGUCGGAGUCGCUAGUAAUCGCAGAUCAGCAACGCUGCGGUGAAUACGUUCCCGGG